rnacentral:lncRNA from 1 species
UGGAUUCAUGUAAGCUUGGAACAGGACAGGUUCUGUAAUAGUAGCAUGUGCUUACGCAUAAACGGGACAGGCAUGAAUUAGGAGGAUAGGAAGCAACUGUCAUUGUCUAUCCCAUAUUGCAAUGUAUUGGUUGGUGCAAAACCAUGAAAAUAGGGGAAACCUGAAUUUAUUGCUACCCACUGGACUGGAACCUUCAUUUCCUCUUAUCUCAGCUAAGCCUAGUUGUUAUGAU